AGUGCUGGCCACAAAGAAGAAGAAACAUUCCCAGGAGCGUUCCCAAGGUGAAGGAGACCAGAGCCCUUGUUUCCUGGCACCCUGACCUUAUUUUUAUACAGAAUGCCCACCUGCUGCUUAAAAACAUCUUGUUUCACAUCUCUCACAGGGUCAGAAGAGAAAUCCCAAGGGCCAUCAGAAUGAAAGAGCAUUGAUCAGUCUCAUGAGAUGCAGGGCCUGGCCUGGGAGUUCCCGAGGAGGCCCUCCCAGGCUGACCUACAAGAAGAGAUGCUCAGCAGCCCGGAUGCCAGAAUGGGGCCUGCAGGAAGAAUUAGUCGACCAGGAAGAAUUAGCAGUUAUCUAGCCACAGGAACCUGCACACUGGGCUGGUUGACGCCUGCCCUGUCAAGUCUCCAUGAUGCUGGGUCCCGAGGGAGGCGAAGGAUUCGUGGUCAAGCUCUGUGGCUUGCCCUGGCCUUGCUCUAUUGAGGAUGUGCAGAAUUUCCUCUCCAACUGCAAAAUUCAAGAUGGAGCGUCAGGCUUUCAUUUCAUCUGCACCAGGGAAGGCAGACGGAGUGGUGAGGCUUUUGUUGAACUCACAUUAGAAGAUUAUACCAAGUGGCCCUGAAAAAAGGACAGAGAAACCAGAGGACACAGAUGUACUGACAUAUUCAAGUCUUAAACAGAACCAAAAUGGGUGCUGAAGUACAGUGCCGCAUUUAGUACUAGUUAAGACAGUUCAAGUUGAUACAGCUUAUUUUCUAGGAAAACCCUUCUUUUGUCUAUGCAAGAACAGUAAGUGGUUAUUUUUUUAUUUUUUAAAAAAAAUUUAUGUAUUUUUAAAGAUACAUAGAUUACACAAAAUAUUAUUUUUUACAGAAGUCUGUACUUUAUGCAGUUACUCACAGUUACUAUGCUAUCAUAACUGAAAUUUCAGUUGUGCUGUUGGGAGACUGAUAUUUAAUUGAUGCCUUCUCUGAUGUGGGAGUCCACUCUAGCAGGCUCCUUCAAGCAUUCUGUCAACCCUGGAUGUUGACUUGCCACCUGUUAGCUAUAACUUGGAUAUUUAAAUUUCUUAGUGCUUUGAGACU
rnacentral:lncRNA from 1 species